GAAGUCUUGCUUGAGAAUGCUUCGGGCACCUAGCUGUAGAAGAAAGAAUAGAAAUUGUGAUAACAAAAUCCUAAAUAGAAUACUAACAAUGCUCUAAUUAGACUAUAAUAAUGGUAAACAAAUGUAAUCCAAUUCAAAAAAACUCAAAGAAAUUUCAAAUAAACAAUAAAAUUCUUAAAGAAAUAUUAGAAUGAUCACAAAUUUUAUUCAAAUAUAUGUCAAUUCAACCUUAAUUUAAUUCUAGUUAAAACCCUAUUGAAUUUCACUCAACUUUAGACCAAACCUAAUUAAAUCUUUAGCCCUAAUAAUUCCUAAACCCUAAGUCAAAUCCUAAACAAAUCUUAAAUUAAACCCUAUUCCAAACCCUAGACCCUAAACCAAACCCUAAAUCAAACCCUAAACCAAAACCUAAUCCAACCCUAAACCCUAAACCAAACUUUAAAUAAAAUCCUAACCAAACCCUAAAUCCUAAUCCAAACCCUAAUCCAAAUCCUAAUCCAAACCCUAAUCCAACCCUAAACUCUAAUCCAAAUCCUAAACCCUAAACCAAACCUUAAAUCAAACUCUAAUCCAAACCCUAAAUCAAACCCUAACCAAAUCCUAAAUCCUAAUCUAAAUCCUAAUCCAAACCCUAAUCCAACCCUAAACUCUAAUCCAAAUCCUAAAUCCUAAACCAAACCUUAAAUCAAACCCUAACCAGACCCUAAUCCAAAUCCUAAUCCAAACCCUAAAUCAAACCCUAACCAAAUCCUAAAUCCUAAUCCAAAUCCUAAUCCAAAC
rnacentral:lncRNA from 1 species